rnacentral:lncRNA from 12 species
CCUGGGAUCAUUUCCCCUGAUCACAGCUGAUUGGAGCAGGAGCUAACACCUGACCCAAGUUAAACCCAUCAAAUUUUCUUUCCUUGGGAAUGAAGCAAAAUGAUCAUUGGUCUCUACUUAUGUCACUGAGCUAAUGAGGAGCUGAGAGCAUCAAGUCUGGAAUCAUUGCCAAGGAAGUAAGGAAAUCAGGCGACAUUUCAAAACUCAAAAAUUGACUGCAGUUAAAGA